GAAUAUUCAUGGUUUAGUAAUCAUAACUUCAUGGCUUGUUUCUUUAAUAAGUCUUGAGUAAAGAACAAUCAAUAUUAAAUUUUAUUAAUACAAGUGUUCUGGACUCUUUUGUUGGGAAAGUAUACAGCAAGAGGAAGAAGGCGCCAACAGCCUCUAGUGGCUGAGUAGGUGCCCGAUUGAUUUAGUUUGUUAGCUAGGUCAGUAGUUUGUUA
rnacentral:lncRNA from 1 species